UGUGGGGUGGCUCAGAGGUAGAGCACUUGCCUAGCAUGUGCAAGGUCCUGAGUUAGAUUCCCAGAAUCACAA
rnacentral:tRNA from 1 species